CAGGGACCUUCUAAAUGUCUCUGCUUCCUGGGAGACCAAAUGACCUCUUUUUUACAGAUACUAAGAUCAAAGCUCUUGGUUUAGAUACUCCAGCUGUCUCUCCCGUUGGCAUCUGACAUGCAACCCAGUCCAUUUAAAAUCAGGGGGCACGUAAACAUUUUAACCCUUGGCAGCAGUAUCUAACAAAGAUGCUAGCAAUAAAUGGCCUGGGCCAAAUCACAUUUGGUGUCCUUCCUUUGAAGUCCAUGCAGGCACUGUACCCUAUGGUUUUGACAAAGAGCCAAGUCCAAAAAAAGUAUGUAGGCUCUUGAAGCCGGCUGGACAUGGACUUUAGGAUCCAGGGUGGCUCCAUGCAGCCGAACUGCUGCCUCACACCUCGCUGCAGGCUUCUCCACCUGACCUUGGAGGGUCUUUGCCCACAGCUAGGCCUUGCUCCACCAGCCCAGCUUGAGUGGCAGUUUUUGGCCUAAGCAGAGGAGCGCCAUCAUCCCUUGUAAGACAUCUAGUGGUGUGCAUGUGGGUCAUGUGCGCUAACUGAAUGAGAUACUGCAUUUAUUAAGAUCAUGGUUGGGUUUUUUUUUUUUUUAAAUCGUUGCCACAGGAGGGUGCCAUUUUUCUGUAUAAGCCCCCAGUUGGUCAAGUCCCUUGCUCAGAACUGUCACAGGUUCAAAUCUCUCUUCAGAAGUCCCAAAGAUGAUGGAUGUGAGCUUGAGAGAAGGGGUUUGGCAUGCCUGUGUCCUUCCUACUGAAGUCAAGCCAGUUCCCUGACGACAGGUGAGCAAACAACAUCAAAAUAAGUCUAUGAGUGAAAGCACUUCUGGAGAGAACUCAGGCAGCCUGAUCUUCUGGGUGGCAACCUUGCUUAUAGCACAGGCACUGGAACUAGAUGAUGCUUAAAGGUCCCUUCCAACCCAAACCAUUCUGUGAUUCUGGGAUUCUAUGAUUCCAGGAUUCUAUGACACUAUGAUUCUAUCAGUCUAUGAUUCAAUAUCUUCUAGUUCUCACUGGCAGGUUUAUUCCUGUCACACUGCUGGAAGAGAGAUAGCAAUAGAGCUCCAGCACUCUUCUCUCCCAAAGAGACUGAGUCUCUCACCCAUCAGUCUUCGAAGAGACAGUGCACCACAUUACCCGUUUCAUGAAGUCUAGAGUAUGUUUAAAAGGACCCUCACAGUUUUCAUGGACAUUUCAGCAGCUCAAGAACAGAAGCCAUUAUAACAGUGCAACCUAAUAAAUUCUACUAAACCAGUGGGUUUUUCUUCUUU
rnacentral:lncRNA from 1 species